rnacentral:lncRNA from 1 species
CCCGUCGCGGCUCCGGCGGAUCGCUCGCGCAGAUCUGUACUCUGCUACGCGGCCGGCAUUGUUCCCCAGAAAGGAAAAGGGCUCGCCGUUCUUGAAAGCUACAGAUAACAGCACGGCGGUUUACGUUUAUUUACUUGCAUGGAUGGAGACAGUACGGCAACGAAAGCGGGGCUAACCGAUUGGGCGCGGCGUUCUACUGUUUCUGAGCAAAGCCUAGUCGGACUCUACACGAUCCAUCGAGCAAACGUUGGCGGUGGUUUUGUGCACAUGGACCAGAAACUGAUUCGGUGUUAUUUCUGUGCAAGGCGGCAAGUCGGGAGAUCGACAAUGGACAAUGCAAUGGAUCGGGUGAUCGACACGUCCUCAUGGAUAUUUGGGGGGAAAGGAGCUUCAGAUCUCCACCGUCGUGAGUCCGGAUCUGAUCCACCUAAACCACUACGUAGCAUACAUGCCUUUUCGGUUGACCUUGCUGCCAGCGGGCAGUGCCGUUCAUGCCGGAACGGUCUGCUCUACUGUCUAGCUUCGCCUAACAUUCACUAGCCAUCGCGUGCUCCUCACAUGGCUUCGAGCAUGACUGGCCGCUACCACAAAUUUAGUGUAAAAGGGACUGAACUGUCCUUUUACCCUGAACAGUAACGCGGGAAUGGUGGGGAAAAAAACUUUGAUCUCGGUACAGAAACUCACCUCAGCCACGGGCCACAGCCCUGCAGAGUUGACGAGCAUCAUCCUGCAUCUUGUCUCAAAGUUCCAAACCAUGCUGUCUGCCAUCAGUACCUGGAUGUGCUUCCCCCGGAUAAGAUGCAGCACUAUCAGGAACCUGCAGUUCGGAAAUUCAGGAUCCGCCGCCGCAGUAGGGAUAGGAAUGUCAGGGCCAGCUGUAGAAGAUAACAAAAUCAUGUUUCUGGAGGCUGAAUAAGUUCUUGUUCAGAGUAUACACGGACUUACCGUGCUUCUGAAUUCUGAUGGUGUAAAUCCGGCAGUCCUAAGUAAGCUAAACGUGCCAGAAAACGACACGGCGGCACAAGUCAAAUGCACAGUAGUGAUAGAAAGGGAACAGCCGCCAAAUUCUAGUCCAUGCAUCCACCCAAAAGAGUUGGUUCCUGCCGUAGUGCCGACGAUGGAAUUCUUCAGCCUGCCAGUCUCCCUACGGCCCCCUUUGGUAGGGUUUUGCCUCCCUCAGCUUCAGCUUCGUGGUACAGUGUUUUGGUACUGUAACGUGAAGUCGGUACGUGAAUCGAGGCAAAAAAAAUGAACUGGAAAGAGGUGAAAUGAAAAAAAUGACUUGCCUGGCUUCAACUUCGGCUCCGGCACGUGCCACACGAUGCGCUGCAGUAACGAAGCCGAAGCCCCUCAAGCCCUACAAAGGGCCCUACGUCGACAAAAUUCUUCGUUCCGGAGACCACUGAAGUAGUGAAGUUGAAGCCCACUAGCUCGAUGUAGUUUGGUCCACGCACACCAUGCGGCCGCCCAACAAGGACCGAUCGUUGCGUGUGUCUCUUGAGGUGCAAAGCCCAUCAGACUGCCAAUGCAAGUCAUUCGCGCUGGUUCAGAGGAGGGGUAGAGAACAUGUCAAAUCUGACCGAUCCCUCAGGCCACUAGAUAAGAUCUGAGCACAAAACUAGGACGGAAAGAGAAACGUACUACCUUUAUUUGUCAAUAUCAUGGGAUUUUCAUUCCUAAUUAAAACGUUAUAAAACUGCUGUUUCUGUUACUAACUAGUCAUGCUUAUUUAACUUCAAAACUAGCUACUACGCAAGCUACAAGCAUUUUUUUACAACAAGGUGGCAAUAGAAGGAAACCUAAAUCCUAAAUUUCAAAAUCUGCAAUAGUAUACAGAGAGUAUCGAGUUCAGGUUUUGGUGUUCCUUUAGUCACUUUGAAGAGACAGCCUUGCUAAUUGCAGUGCACCCAAGGCGAGAAAUUUGCUAAAGUACCUGCUUCGAAGUCCAACAGACCGGGAUUUGCGGCCCCGCGCAGCACGGCCCAGUCGGCGCUCGCACAUUCUCCCAGAUGUCCAGCAGCUCCCAACCCAAGAUAAUGGGUUUGGUAACAUCAAACUGAAGAUUCAAACGGCCACUAUAUAAGGCGCCAGAUGGAAGAGAUCGAGAGGCAAUCAAACCAACCAGUGAAGGGACCAAACACAUAGGCACCACAAGCAUGAAGGGCAUCGCCCUCCUCGUUGCUCUUGCGGCUGUGCUCGCAUCGUACUGCAGCGCCUCAUCGUCUCACCAUGCCUUCCCGUCGGCAGAAGCACCGGCUCCGGCACCCUAUGCCGAGGCGCCGGUGACGGCGCACCCUGGAUCCGAGCAUGGGAAGCCUCACCACCAUGGGUUGGCGCCGGUGGAACCACCGUCGUACCACGGCUCACCUCACCACAAGCACCAUGGUCAUCAUGGCCACCACCACCGCCACCACCAUGACCAUGGAGCUCCGCCAAGCCCUUCCCCUGCUCACCACCCUCCACCCCCUCAUCACCGCACGCCACCGCCUCAUUUUCCACCUCCCGCUCAUCACCAUGCACCACCACCACCAGCUCACCACGCACCGCCGCCUCAUUUUCCAACACCGCCUACUCAUCAUUCACCGCCACCGCCUUCUCACCAUGCACCGCCGCCUCAUUUUCCACCUUCCGGUCACCAUUCACCCCCACCCCCAGCUCACCACACGUCACCGCCUCAUUUCCCACCCCCAGCUCACCAGCCUUCUCACCAUGCACCGCCGCCUCAUUUUCCACCUUCCGGUCACCAUUCACCCCCACCCCCAGCUCACCACACGUCACCGCCUCAUUUCCCACCCCCAGCUCACCAUGCACCUCCACCUCAUUUCCCACCCCCUGCUCACCACUCGCCGCCAUCCCCAGCGCACCACUUGCCGCCCCCACCUCCAUCCCGCUACCCACCGCAUGUUCCAUCGCACAAGCAUUCGCCACCUCCAUCGCCUUCUCAUGGCAAGGCACCACCACCACGUGGCCACAGGAAAUUUCCCCCGGCGUAUUCAACUAUAGCACCCUCACCAGCUUAUUACAGUGCCAUCUCCCCUAGUAAUGCGCCUCUGGCAGGUCAAAAUGGAGCAUCACCACCUUGGUAUUUUUGAUGCUAGGAUCAGGAUGAACACUUUCCUGAGUUAUUAGUAAGAUCGCUGUUGAACUCUGCACAAGAGAUCAAAAUCUCAAUAGUUACCACGAAGGUUAUCCUUGCUUUUUCGUCAUACUUCAUUUCCAGCAAGAAGAUUACUGAAUAAUUAUGUACUUCAUUUGAAAAUCGUGUUGUUCAAGGAGUCGGGGUCCUAUCUCAAAAUGUUUCUUUGUCAGUUGGUGUCUAUGUUAUGGGAACCAUACUUCACAAAUUGUUCCAGUCCUUAAUCCUGUAUGUCGUUAUUGUCCAAUUUAUCACCUAGUUUUCUCUCUGUUCCUCUAAUCUCUGUAUGCCGGUGUUGUCACAUUCAUCAAGUAGGCUUUUCUCUGAUCCUCUAAUCUUAUUGCUGAUUACUGAUAGCAUCACUAGAACAAUGAAAUAUAACCUUAAUUAGUUCCAGUGUAAAAUGUAGAGGUAUGUCAUCCAAUAUACCAAAAAAGCUGAUUCAAACAUAGAGCACAAAUUCAAACAAAAACUUAUUUUAGAGGAAUCUCUCCCCCUUUAGUCUAUUUCAAUCAAACUCUGUAAAUCAUAUUAAAUUACAGCUCCAUGAUACCAAAAUGUUUUUCCUUCCCCAAAAGGAAGAGAGAUGUAGGGCAUGACCAUGAUGUAUGAUUACCAAAGUAGCUAAGAAAAAGGAUAUCAAUGAACUCACCUGAUGAAUCGUUCCAGCAAUAGAAAUCUCUGAGAGUGCUGAAUUAAAACCUGCUAUAAGAAAUCUUGAACAGAAUUUAGCUUAUCAUCAUUAACAUAACAGAUGAAAG